CACAUCCUUUUCUUCCAAAGUGUGGAAGAAGGUGGUAACACGAAGCCGCAGCAGUAGAACCCAAGAAGGCAGAUGAACAUGGCUGCUGCCAAUGGAAUGCAUUAUUGCAAAGAUUCAAGGAUUGCCACUGGAAAAGGAUGACAUGGGAAAUGCAGAUAGACAAGGAAAUACAUGGUCCAAAGAUUGCCACUAGAAAUGAGUAACAUAAAGUGUUAAA